rnacentral:rRNA from 1 species
CGAACGUUAGCGGCGCGCCUAACACAUGCAAGUCGCACGAGAAAGGGAGCAAUCCCCGGUACAGUGGCGCACGGGUGAGUAACACGUAGAUGACCUUCCCUGGGAGUGGUGGAUAACCUGCCGAAGGGCGGGCUAAUACAGCAUGGGACCACAUGGUUUUGACCGAGUGGUGAAAGCGGGCCUCUGUUCACAAGCUCGCGCUCUGGGAUGGGUCUGCGUCCCAUCAGCUAGUUGGUGAGGUAAUGGCUCACCAAGGCAUCGACGGGUAGCUGGUCUGAGAGGAUGACCAGCCACACUGGAACUGAGACACGGUCCAGACUCCUACGGGAGGCAGCAGUGGGGAAUCUUGCGCAAUGGGCGAAAGCCUGACGCAGCGACGCCGCGUGGGUGAUGAAGGCCUUCGGGUUGUAAAGCCCUGUGGGGAGGAACGAACCGUACGGGGGCGAACACCCUCCGUACCUGACGGUACCUCCUUAGCAAGCAUCGGCUAACUCUGUG